AUUAUGAGAUAAUCAACAACAACAAAUUGAUCGUCUUCCAACGUUCAGCGAGAGUGUGUUUGAAAAUUAAUUAAACAUGAUUUUUAUAACAAACAAAUAAUAAAUGCGGUGUUGAACGCUAGAAAUAUGGCUCCGGAUAUAUCGAGCGAGGUGAAACACAUUUUAAGGUCGAGAGACUCGAGAGUGGUUAACGUGGAUGCUCCAGCCACGGUAUAAGGAUAUACAGUAGGGGCAAGCACCCGUUUUCGAGUCAGCCGCGCAGAUUUGCUUGCGCACCCCAAGCGGCCAUGUUCUUGGGCGGCUUCCAAUCCCGUUCAAAGUAAAGAACGCGCAUUAUCUCCGUAACCGUGAUCACAUAUAGAUAGAGAAACAUAACCAAACAUAAAAAUUCGUAUAUUGUAUUGUUUGUUUUGUGCUUUUGUUAAAAACAAUGUCUAAGAGAAUACAUCGAGUGUGUGCGGUGCAAAAUUGUUUUCACAAUGAUUAAUGAUGAUAUAUCAUUUUUUCGCUUUCCAAAAGAGAAAGAAAGUAUUAUUGAUAUGCUACUUGCCGCCCGAAGACAUGGCGGAUCGGCUGAAAAAGAUCAAAGGUGCCGACGCUCUUUGUCCCUACUGUAUAUCAUUAUACUGUGCUCGAGCGUUGCGCUUGAUAAUGUUAAAAAAAUAUGGACCAAGGCUUAAAAAGUAUGACACGUGCACGUUUCCUCACUAAAAAAUUGUGUACUCAUUAAAUGCACAAAAAUGCACAACAGGUAUUCCAACAUGUUUUUAUAUUAAUAUAUACAAAGUAUUUCGACAUUUAUAUUGUUCCUUGAUGAGACUGUGUUAAUUUGUGCGCAUACUAUAAGAUAUAGUAAUUGUCAUAUUGGCACUUUUCUAUUUCCCUGCGCAGUCAGCUGGACCAGCAGGUUAUUACGUCCUGCUUCGAUCGUUCCAAUGUAAAUUGUUAAUGAUUCGUAAUAGUAUUGUCCCUAAUUUUACUACA